GAGUGUCGGGUUAAGUCCCGUAACGAGCGCAACCCUUGUCCUUAGUUACCAGCACGUUAUGGUGGGCACUCUAAGGAGACUGCCGGUGACAAACCGGAGGAAGGUGGGGAUGACGUCAAGUCAUCAUGGCCCUUACGGCCUGGGCUACACACGUGCUACAAUGGUCGGUACAAAGGGUUGCCAAGCCGCGAGGUGGAGCUAAUCCCAUAAAACCGAUCGUAGUCCGGAUCGCAGUCUGCAACUCGACUGCGUGAAGUCGGAAUCGCUAGUAAUCGUGAAUCAGAAUGUCACGGUGAAUACGUUCCCGGGCCUU
rnacentral:rRNA from 1 species